rnacentral:rRNA from 1 species
AUUGAACGCUGGCGGCAGGCCUAACACAUGCAAGUCGAACGCGUGGCGGGCGGGUGAGUAAUAUCUGGGACACUGCCUUAUGGAGGGGUAUCACUCCUGGAAACGGGAGCUAAUCCCGCAUACCAUCGUAUAUGCCCAUAUGGGAUUAGCGUGUAGGUGGGGUAAAGGCUCCCCUAGGCGACGAUCCGUAGCUGGUCUGAGAGGAUGACCAGCCACACGGGAACUGAGACACGGUCCAGACUCAUACGGGAGGCAGCAGUGGGGAAUAUUGCACAAUGGGUGCAAGCCGGAUGCAGCCAUGCCGCGUGUAUGAAGAAGGCCUUCGGGUUGUAAAGUACUUUCAGCGGGGAGGCGUUACCCGCAGAAGAAGCACCGGCUAACUCCGUGCCAGCCGCCGCGGUAAUUC